rnacentral:rRNA from 1 species
AACGCUAGCUACAGGCUUAACACAUGCAAGUCGAGGGGAAACGAUAUUGGAAGCUUGCUUCCGAUAGGCGUCGACCGGCGCACGGGUGAGUAACGCGUAUCCAACCUGCCCACCACUUGGGGAUAACCUUGCGAAAGUAAGACUAAUACCCAAUGAUAUCUCUAGAAGACAUCUGAAAGGGAUUAAAGAUUCAUCGGUGAUGGAUGGGGAUGCGUCUGAUUAGCUUGUUGGCGGGGUAACGGCCCACCAAGGCGACGAUCAGUAGGGGUUCUGAGAGGAAGGUCCCCCACAUUGGAACUGAGACACGGUCCAAACUCCUACGGGAGGCAGCAGUGAGGAAUAUUGGUCAAUGGACGAGAGUCUGAACCAGCCAAGUAGCGUGCAGGACGACGGCCCUAUGGGUUGUAAACUGCUUUUAUAAGGGAAUAAAGUGAGUCUCGUGAGACUUUUUGCAUGUACCUUAUGAAUAAGGACCGGCUAAUUCCGUGCCAGCAGCCGCGGUAAUACGGAAGGUCCGGGCGUUAUCCGGAUUUAUUGGGUUUAAAGGGAGCGUAGGCCGGAGAUUAAGCGUGUUGUGAAAUGUAGAUGCUCAACAUCUGCACUGCAGCGCGAACUGGUUUCCUUGAGUACGCACAAAGUGGGCGGAAUUCGUGGUGUAGCGGUGAAAU